UACGUAGGGUGCGAGCGUUAAUCGGAAUUACUGGGCGUAAAGCGUGCGCAGGCGGCGCGUUAAGACAGGUGUGAAAGCCCCGAGCUUAACUUGGGAAUUGCGCUUGUGACUGGCGUGCUGGAGUGUGGCAGAGGGAGGUGGAAUUCCACGUGUAGCAGUGAAAUGCGUAGAGAUGUGGAGGAACACCGAUGGCGAAGGCAGCCUCCUGGGCCGGGCCUGACGCUGAGACGCGAAAGCGCGGGGAGCGAACGGG
rnacentral:rRNA from 1 species